AUUUGGUCCCAGUGCACUGGGAUCACAACCAGUUACAGACUCUUUUGUUCAUUCUCCACUCCCACUGCUUCACUUGACUAGCCUAAA
rnacentral:Y_RNA from 1 species